AACGAACGCUGGCGGCAGGCCUAACACAUGCAAGUCGAACGCUGCAGCAAUGCAGAGUGGCAGACGGGUGAGUAACGCGUGGGAACCUUCCCAAUGGUUCGGAAUAGCCCAGGGAAACUUGGGGUAAUACCGUAUAAGCCCCAUGGGGGAAAGAUUUAUCGCCAUUGGAUGGGCCCGCGUCGGAUUAGCUAGUUGGUGAGGUAACGGCUCACCAAGGCGACGAUCCGUAGCUGGUUUGAGAGAAUGACCAGCCACACUGGGACUGAGACACGGCCCAGACUCCUACGGGAGGCAGCAGUGGGGAAUCUUGCGCAAUGGGCGAAAGCCUGACGCAGCCAUGCCGCGUGAAUGAUGAAGGUCUUAGGAUUGUAAAAUUCUUUCACCGGGGACGAUAAUGACGGUACCCGGAGAAGAAGCCCCGGCUAACUUCGUGCCAGCCGCCGCAGUAA
rnacentral:rRNA from 1 species